rnacentral:rRNA from 1 species
GCAUAUCAAUAAGCGGAGGAAAAGAAACCAACAGGGAUUGCCCUAGUAACGGCGAGUGAAGCGGCAACAGCUCAAAUUUGAAAUCUGGCCCUUGGGUCCGAAUUGUAAUUUGUAGAGGAUGCUUUUGGUGCGGUGCCUUCCGAGUUCCCUGGAACGGGACGCCAUAGAGGGUGAGAGCCCCGUCUGGUUGGACACCAAUCCUCUGUAAAGCUCCUUCGACGAGUCGAGUAGUUUGGGAAUGCUGCUCUAAAUGGGAGGUAUAUGUCUUCUAAAGCUAAAUACCGGCCAGAGACCGAUAGCGCACAAGUAGAGUGAUCGAAAGAUGAAAAGCACUUUGAAAAGAGGGUUAAAUAGUACGUGAAAUUGUUGAAAGGGAAGCGCUUGUGACCAGACUUGAGCCCGGUUAAUCAUCCAGCCUUCUGGCUGGUGCACUUGGCCGGCUCAGGCCAGCAUCAGUUCGGCGCGGGGGAUAAAGACUUCGGGAAUGUGGCUCCUCCGGGAGUGUUAUAGCCCGUUGUGUAAUACCCUGUACUGGACUGAGGUUCGCGCAUCUGCAAGGAUGCUGGCGUAAUGGUCAUCAGCGACCCGUCUUGAAACACGGACCAAGGAGUCGUCUUCGUAUGCGAGUGUUCGGGUGUCAAACCCCUACGCGUAAUGAAAGUGAACGCAGGUGAGAGCUUCGGCGCAUCAUCGACCGAUCCUGAUGUUCUCGGAUGGAUUUGAGUAAGAGCAUACGGAGCCGGACCCGAAAGAAGGUGAACUAUGCCUGUAUAGGGUGAAGCCAGAGGAAACUCUGGUGGAGGCUCGCAGCGGUUCUGACGUGCAAAUCGAUCGUCAAAUAUGGGCAUGGGGGGCGAAAGACUAAUCGAACCUUCUAGUAGCUGGUUUCCGCCGAAG